GUCUAUACGAAAAAUAAUUUACAGUCUGCCCUGCCCAGUGAAUAAUUUAAAUGGCCGCGGUAUUCUGACCGUGCAAAGGUAGCAUAAUAAUUAGUUUUUUAAUUGAAAGCUUGAAUGAAUGGUUGGACAAAGAAAAAUCUGUUUCUGCUUUUUUUUUUAGAAUUUUACUUUUAGGUGAAAAGGCCUAAAUAAAUUUAAUAGASGAUAAGACCCUAUAAAUCUUUAUACAUUCUUUUUUUAAAGUAAUUAUAAAGUUUACUUUUUAUAAAAAAAAAAUAUAUUUUGUUGGGGCGACAAGAAUACUAAAACUGUUCUAAUUUUAAACAAUAAUUUUUGAAAAUAGUAGAUCCUUUAUUGAAGAUUAAAAAAUUAAGUUACUUUAGGGAUAACAGCGUAAUUUUUUUUGAGAGUUCAUAUCGACAAAAAAGUUUGCGACCUCGAUGUUGAAUUAAAGUCUCUCUAUAAUGCAGCAGUUAUAGGAGUAAGUCUGUUCGACUUUUAAAACUUU
rnacentral:rRNA from 1 species